rfam:Oryza punctata chromosome 3, whole genome shotgun sequence.
UCCUACUCCCUCCAUCCCAUUUUAAGUGUCCAACUUUGAUCGUUCAUCUUAUUUGAAUUUUUUCAGAUUAAUAUUUUUAUUGUUAUUAGAUGGUAAAAUAUAAAUAGUACUUUAUGUGUGAUUUAUGUUUUUUGAUUUUUUUAAAAAAUAUUCAAAUAAGACAGAUAAUUAAAGUUGGACGGAAACACGUGACUGCGCUUAAA